rnacentral:rRNA from 1 species
AUGCUGACAUAAGUAACGAUAAAGCGGGUGAAAAGCCCGCUCGCCGGAAGACCAAGGGUUCCUGUCCAACGUUAAUCGGGGCAGGGUGAGUCGACCCCUAAGGCGAGGCCGAAAGGCGUAGUCGAUGGGAAACAGGUUAAUAUUCCUGUACUUGGUGUUACUGCGAAGGGGGGACGGAGAAGGCUAUGUUGGCCGGGCGACGGUUGUCCCGGUUUAAGCGUGUAGGCUGGUUUUCCAGGCAAAUCCGGAAAAUCAAGGCUGAGGCGUGAUGACGAGGCACUACGGUGCUGAAGCAACAAAUGCCCUGCUUCCAGGAAAAGCCUCUAAGCAUCAGGUAACAUCAAAUCGUACCCCAAACCGACACAGGUGGUCAGGUAGAGAAUACCAAGGCGCUUGAGAGAACUCGGGUGAAGGAACUAGGCAAAAUGGUGCCGUAACUUCGGGAGAAGGCACGCUGAUAUGUAGGUGAAGUCCCUCGCGGAUGGAGCUGAAAUCAGUCGAAGAUACCAGCUGGCUGCAACUGUUUAUUAAAAACACAGCACUGUGCAAACACGAAAGUGGACGUAUACGGUGUGACGCCUGCCCGGUGCCGGAAGGUUAAUUGAUGGGGUUAGCCGCAAGGCGAAGCUCUUGAUCGAAGCCCCGGUAAACGGCGGCCGUAACUAUAACGGUCCUAAGGUAGCGAAAUUCCUUGUCGGGUAAGUUCCGACCUGCACGAAUGGCGUAAUGAUGGCCAGGCUGUCUCCACCCGAGACUCAGUGAAAUUGAACUCGCUGUGAAGAUGCAGUGUACCCGCGGCAAGACGGAAAGACCCCGUGAACCUUUACUAUAGCUUGACACUGAACAUUGAGCCUUGAUGUGUAGGAUAGGUGGGAGGCUUUGAAGUGUGGACGCCAGUCUGCAUGGAGCCGACCUUGAAAUACCACCCUUUAAUGUUUGAUGUUCUAACGUUGACCCGUAAUCCGGGUUGCGGACAGUGUCUGGUGGGUAGUUUGACUGGGGCGGUCUCCUCCUAAAGAGUAACGGAGGAGCACGAAGGUUGGCUAAUCCUGGUCGGACAUCAGGAGGUUAGUGCAAUGGCAUAAGCCAGCUUGACUGCGAGCGUGACGGCGCGAGCAGGUGCGAAAGCAGGUCAUAGUGAUCCGGUGGUUCUGAAUGGAAGGGCCAUCGCUCAACGGAUAAAAGGUACUCCGGGGAUAACAGGCUGAUACCGCCCAAGAGUUCAUAUCGACGGCGGUGUUUGGCACCUCGAUGUCGGCUCAUCACAUCCUGGGGCUGAAGUAGGUCCCAAGGGUAUGGCUGUUCGCCAUUUAAAGUGGUACGCGAGCUGGGUUUAGAACGUCGUGAGACAGUUCGGUCCCUAUCUGCCGUGGGCGCUGGAGAACUGAGGGGGGCUGCUCCUAGUACGAGAGGACCGGAGUGGACGCAUCACUGGUGUUCGGGUUGUCAUGCCAAUGGCACUGCCCGGUAGCUAAAUGCGGAAGAGAUAAGUGCUGAAAGCAUCUAAGCACGAAACUUGCC